rnacentral:rRNA from 1 species
GGCAGCAGCUAAGAAUAUUCCGCAAUGCACGAAAGUGUGACGGAGCGACGCCGCGUGGACGAUGAAGGCCGGAAGGUUGUAAAGUCCUUUUUAAUAUGAGGAAUAAGCAGUGUGAGAGAAACGCACUGUGGUGACUGUAGUAUUAGAAUAAGGGGCGGCUAAUUACGUGCCAGCAGCCGCGGUAACACGUAAGCCCCGAGCGUUGUUCGGAAUUAUUGGGCGUAAAGGGCAUGUAGGCGGUUUUGCAAGUCUGGUGUGAAAGGCAGGAGCUCAACUCCUGGACUGCGCUGGAAACUGCAUGACUUGAGUUUCUGAGGGGCACUCGGAAUUCCUGGUGUAGGGGUGAAAUCUGUAGAUAUCAGGAAGAACACCGGUGGCGAAGGCGGGGUGCCAGCAGAAGACUGACGCUGAGGUGCGAAGGUGCGGGGAGCAAACAGGAUUAGAUACCCUGGUAGUCCGCACAGUCAACGAUGCACACUGGGUGUCCGCACAUAAGUGUGGGUGCCGAAGCAAACGCGAUAAGUGUGCCGCCUGGGGAGUAUGCCCGCAAGGGUGAAACUCAAAGGAAUUGACGG